GACGAACGCUGGCGGCGUGCUUAACACAUGCAAGUCGAACGGAAAGGCCCUGCUUUUGUGGGGUGCUCGAGUGGCGAACGGGUGAGUAACACGUGAGUAACCUGCCCUUGACUUUGGGAUAACUUCAGGAAACUGGGGCUAAUACCGGAUAGGAGCUCCUGCUGCAUGGUGGGGGUUGGAAAGUUUCGGCGGUUGGGGAUGGACUCGCGGCUUAUCAGCUUGUUGGUGGGGUAGUGGCUUACCAAGGCUUUGACGGGUAGCCGGCCUGAGAGGGUGACCGGCCACAUUGGGACUGAGAUACGGCCCAGACUCCUACGGGAGGCAGCAGUGGGGAAUAUUGCACAAUGGGCGGAAGCCUGAUGCAGCAACGCCGCGUGCGGGAUGACGGCCUUCGGGUUGUAAACCGCUUUCGCCUGUGACGAAGCGUGAGUGACGGUAAUGGGUAAAGAAGCACCGGCUAACUACGUGCCAGCAGCCGCGGUGAUACGUAGGGUGCGAGCGUUGUCCGGAUUUAUUGGGCGUAAAGGGCUCGUAGGUGGUUGAUCGCGUCGGAAGUGUAAUCUUGGGGCUUAACCCUGAGCGUGCUUUCGAUACGGGUUGACUUGAGGAAGGUAGGGGAGAAUGGAAUUCCUGGUGGAGCGGUGGAAUGCGCAGAUAUCAGGAGGAACACCAGUGGCGAAGGCGGUUCUCUGGGCCUUUCCUGACGCUGAGGAGCGAAAGCGUGGGGAGCGAACAGGCUUAGAUACCUUGGUAGUCCACGCUGUAAACGGUGGGUACUAGGUGUGGGGUCCAUUCCACGGGUUCCGUGCCGUAGCUAACGCUUUAAGUACCCCGCCUGGGGAGUACGGCCGCAAGGCUAAAACUCAAAGGAAUUGACGGGGCCCCGCACAAGCGGCGGAGCAUGCGGAUUAAUUCGAUGCAACGCGUAGAACCUUACCUGGGUUUGACAUGGAUCGGGAGUGCUCAGAGAUGGGUGUGCCUCUUUUGGCGUCGGUUCACAGGUGGUGCAUGGCUGUAAUCAGCUCGUGUCGUGAGAUGUUGGGUUAAGUCCCGCAACGAGCGCAACCCUUGUUCACUGUUGCCAGCACGUUAUGGUGGGGACUCAGUGGAGACCGCCGGGGUCAACUCGGAGGAAGGUGGGGAUGACGUCAAGUCAUCAUGCCCCUUAUGUCCAGGGCUUCACGCAUGCUACAAUGGCUGGUACAGAGAGUGGCGAGCCUGUGAGGGUGAGCGAAUCUCGGAAAGCCGGUCUCAGUUCGGAUUGGGGUCUGCAACUCGACCUCAUGAAGUCGGAGUCGCUAGUAAUCGCAGAUCAGCAACGCUGCGGUGAAUACGUUCCCGGG
rnacentral:rRNA from 1 species